CCUACGGGAGGCAGCAGUGAGGAAUAUUGGUCAAUGGGCGCGAGCCUGAACCAGCCAAGUAGCGUGAAGGAUGACUGCCCUACGGUUUGUAAACUUCUUUUAUAAAGGAAUAAAGUGAGGCACGUGUGCAUUUUUGUAUGUACUUUAUGAAUAAGGAUCGGCUAACUCCGUGCCAGCAGCCGCGGUAAUACGGAGGAUCCGAGCGUUAUCCGGAUUGAUUGGGUUUAAAGGGAGCGGAGAUGGGUUGUUAAGUCAGUUGUGAAAGUUUGAGGCUCAACCGUAAAAUUGCAAUUGAUACUGGCAGGCUUGAGUACAGUUGAGGUAGGCGGAAUUCGUGGUGUAGCGGUGAAAUGCUUAGAUAUCACGAAGAACUCCGAUUGCGAAGGCAGCUUACUAAACUGCCACUGACAUUGAUGCUCGAAAGUGUGGGGAUCAAACAGGAUUAGAUACCCGAGUAGUC
rnacentral:rRNA from 1 species